rnacentral:pre_miRNA from 1 species
CUUGUACCUCUCCGUCCAACAAAAGAUGUCUCAAGUUUGCUAAAAUUUAGAUGUAUUUAGACAUGACUUAGUAUACAUUUAAAUUUACUCAAGGUUGAGACAUCCUUUGUUGGAUGGAGGAAGUAAUCA